CCUACGGGAGGCAGCAGUGGGGAGUAUUGCACAAUGGGGGAAACCCUGAUGCAGCGACGCCGCGUGAGUGAAGAAGUAAUUCGUUACGUAAAGCUCUAUCAGCAUGGGAGUAAAUGACGGUAUCUGAGUUAGAAUCCCCGGCUAACUACGUGCCAGCAGCCGCGGUUAUAUGUAGGGGGCAAGCGUUAUACGGAUUUACUGGGUGUUAAGGGGGCGUAGGCGGUGCGCCAAGUCAGUAGUGAAAUGUCGCAGCUUAACUGCGAAACUGCAUUGGAAACUGGCGAACUAGAGUGCGGGAGGGGUAGGCGGAAUUCGUAGUGUAGCGGUGAAAUGCGUAGAUAUUAGGAAGAACGCCGAUGGCGAAGGCAGCUUACUGGACCGUAACUGACGUUGAGGCUCGAAAGCGUGGGGAGCAAACAGGAUUAGAUACCCCAGUAGUC
rnacentral:rRNA from 1 species